UACGUGGGGUGCAGGCGUUAAUCGGAAUUACUGGGCUUAAAGCGUGCGCAGGCGGUUUUGUAAGUCUGUCGUGAAAUCCCCGGGCUCAACCUGGGAAUUGCGAUGGAGACUGCAAGGCUAGAAUCUGGCAGAGGGGGGUAGAAUUCCACGUGUAGCAGUGAAAUGCGUAGAGAUGUGGAGGAACACCGAUGGCGAAGGCAGCCCCCUGGGUCAAGAUUGACGCUCAUGCACGAAAGCGUGGGGAGCAAACAGG
rnacentral:rRNA from 1 species